rnacentral:rRNA from 1 species
CGCUGGCGGCGUGCCUAAUACAUGCAAGUCGAACGGCUUUUCUAUGGAAGCUUGCUUCCACUGAGAAGAUAGUGGCGAACGGGUGAGUAACACGUGGGUAACCUGCCCAUAAGAGGGGGAUAACAUCCGGAAACGGGUGCUAAUACCGCAUAGUUUUCUUGAUCGCAUGAUUGAGAAAGGAAAGACGGCCUUUGUGCUGUCGCUUAUGGAUGGACCCGCGGCGUAUUAGUUAGUUGGUGAGGUAACGGCUCACCAAGACGAUGAUACGUAGCCGACCUGAGAGGGUGAUCGGCCACAUUGGGACUGAGACACGGCCCAAACUCCUACGGGAGGCAGCAGUAGGGAAUCUUCCGCAAUGGACGAAAGUCUGACGGAGCAACGCCGCGUGAGUGAAAGAAGGUUUUCGGAUCGUAAAACUCUGUUGUCAGAGAAGAACAAGUUGGAGAGUAACUGCUCCAGCCUUGACGGUAUCUGACCAGAAAGCCACGGCUAACUACGUGCCAGCCGCCGC